GACCCGAAAUUCAUAGUUAACUAAUUACCAUAUAUUUUGUCAUGAAUUUAAUUUGUCUAACACGCGCGCUCACGUACACACACACAUAUUUAUGAGCAAGGGUAGUGGCAUUUCUGUAUACCUUCUCUCCAAUUGCAUCUUGUAUGAUACUCAUGUGGUUACUGAUUCCGCUGAUGAUUUUUCCACUGGUUAAAUCUGUAUCAAAGCCCCAAUCUCCUGGCUAAGGACUGCUCGUAGAUAGGCCAGUCUUAACCGCGCCACUUGCCUUUCACUCGAGUACAUCCAGCACCCGAUUUCUACAAACUCCAAGCAGCAGAUAAAGAAUACGAAGUUUACCAACUAUUCCAGCUGGAAAUGUGGCGAAGGCCAUGUACCACACGUACGGAAUAACCUGAAGAACAAACAACGUGAACAAACUCGGCUUUAACCGUGCCUUCAGUGUCGUUGAUAUUGCUUCCAAACGCAUUGAGAGCUUUUCCGAGCAAAAGAUAUCCAACUGGAAAAGCCAUACCAUGGACAACAGAACCCAACGUCCCCAAUACCAUCAUAGUCCAAUCCAACGCGUCCGCAUAGCUCAGCAGCUUACUGAAUCCCAGAGUCUCGGCUAUGACAAGCUCCGCCUUCUCGUCCUCCACGGUUGCUCCUUUCUGUUUCCCCAUCUGCAUCAGCUUUUCACGUUUUCGGGCACUUAGUUAAAUUUUCAUCAUUUGCAUGCAUGCGUGUUUCAUUAUAUAUGUUGACAGUCGUUGCGAUAAAAUUGAAAAGGUCUGUUUCAGCUUGACUGCAUCCCGAUCACUAGCUUAAAUUAUACAAAAUUUAUGAAAA